GAUGAACGCUGGCGGCGUGCUUAACACAUGCAAGUCGAACGGAAAGGCCCAAGCUUGCUUGGGUACUCGAGUGGCGAACGGGUGAGUAACACGUGGGUGAUCUGCCCUGCACUUCGGGAUAAGCCUGGGAAACUGGGUCUAAUACCGGAUAGGACGAUGGUUUGGAUGCCAUUGUGGAAAGUUUUUUCGGUGUGGGAUGAGCUCGCGGCCUAUCAGCUUGUUGGUGGGGUAAUGGCCUACCAAGGCGUCGACGGGUAGCCGGCCUGAGAGGGUGUACGGCCACAUUGGGACUGAGAUACGGCCCAGACUCCUACGGGAGGCAGCAGUGGGGAAUAUUGCACAAUGGGCGCAAGCCUGAUGCAGCGACGCCGCGUGGGGGAUGACGGCCUUCGGGUUGUAAACUCCUUUCGCUAGGGACGAGGCGUUUUUGUGACGGUACCUGGAGAAGAAGCACCGGCUAACUACGUG
rnacentral:rRNA from 1 species